GGGCAUGUAGCUCAGUGGAUAGAGCAGUUGGCCCAAACCUGUGUACCCUGUGGGGGUAACUACUGCAAACCUUUUGAACAACCAAUUGGUCGUAGGUUCGAAUCCUACCUAGUCCUA
rnacentral:tRNA from 1 species